AACGCUAGCUACAGGCUUAACACAUGCAAGUCGAGGGGCAGCGGGAUUGAAGCUUGCUUCAAUUGCCGGCGACCGGCGCACGGGUGAGUAACGCGUAUCCAACCUUCCGUACACUCAGGGAUAGCCUUUCGAAAGAAAGAUUAAUACCUGAUGGUAUGAUGAGAUUGCAUGAUAGCAUCAUUAAAGAUUUAUCGGUGUACGAUGGGGAUGCGUUUCCAUUAGGUAGUAGGCGGGGUAACGGCCCACCUAGCCAACGAUGGAUAGGGGUUCUGAGAGGAAGGUCCCCCACAUUGGAACUGAGACACGGUCCAAACUCCUACGGGAGGCAGCAGUGAGGAAUCUUCCGCAAUGGACGAAAGUCUGACGGAGCAACGCCGCGUGAACGAUGACGGCCUUCGGGUUGUAAAGUUCUGUUAUACGGGACGAAUGGUACGACGGUCAAUACCCGUCGUAAGUGACGGUACCGUAAGAGAAAGCCACGGCUAACUACGUGCCAGCAGCCGCGGUAAUACGUAGGUGGCAAGCGUUGUCCGGAAUUAUUGGGCGUAAAGGGCGCGCAGGCGGCGUCGUAAGUCGGUCUUAAAAGUGCGGGGCUUAACCCCGUGAGGGGACCGAAACUGCGAUGCUAGAGUAUCGGAGAGGAAAGCGGAAUUCCUAGUGUAGCGGUGAAAUGCGUAGAUAUUAGGAGGAACACCAGUGGCGAAAGCGGCUUUCUGGACGACAACUGACGCUGAGGCGCGGAAGCCAGGGGAGCAAACGGGAUUAGAUACCCCGGUAGUCCUGGCCGUAAACGAUGGAUACUAGGUGUAGGAGGUAUCGACCCCUUCUGUGCCGGAGUUAACGCAAUAAGUAUCCCGCCUGGGGAGUA
rnacentral:rRNA from 1 species